rnacentral:rRNA from 1 species
UACGAAGGGUGCAAGCGUUGUUCGGAAUUACUGGGCGUAAAGGGUGUGUAGGCGGUUAUAUAAGAUAGGGGUGAAAUCCCGGGGCUUAACCUCGGAACUGCCUUUAUAACUAUAUGACUUGAAUAAUGGAGAGGACAGUGGAAUACCCAGUGUAGAGGUGGAAUUCGUAGAUAUUGGGUAGAACACCGGAGGCGAAGGCGACUGUCUGGCCAUUAAUUGACGCUGAGGCACGAAAGUGUGGGGAGCAAACAGG